AUGCCAUGAUGAUAAUUUCUUAUUGAACGCCGUGAUUACCUUCACCAAGAUCGCUGAUGUUU
rnacentral:snoRNA from 1 species